AGCUCAGGCACGUUUGCCAAAUUAAGCUUGUUUGCUACAUGCUGCUAACGAGCUGACCUUGUGUAGCUGCAGCACCUGCCCCUCAUAAGUCUUUAAAGGUGGGGAAAGGAGGGUGGAAAAUUGCCUGUAGCUGCUGUUUUUCCUUCUGUCUUGGUCCAGGGAUGGGUGUGUGCAGUACCCGGUCCCACCCUCUCUCAAGGAAGAGCUCAGGCUGGGAGCCGGUGGCCAGCAGACCUCAUAGGUGCCUUUGGAGAGGAAACCUGCCCAAGCAGAUGCAAACAUGCACGUGCCGAAGGAAGCGACUCGCGGUUCCCUGCCGCCCUUGAGGGGCCGUGGUGUAAGGUCCCCGACCCCAGCCUGCUCCCGUGGGCUGGAGAAGCCAGGUGGAUCUGGAGACAUCGGUCUUUGCCUGUCGGUGCAUCCACCUCAGCUGCAGUUACUGAGGUCUUUCAGUUGACGUUCACCCCCCAGGUCAGUUUUAUUGCACUUUUAUUUACAGAAAACACAGAAAUAAAGCAUUAAAUGUGUUGGGCUUCUACCAAACCACCCAAUCACUUUUUUUUUUUUUUCUUUUGUGGGUUUUUGGCACGAAGAAAUAUCACAGGUGUUACCAAACAACCAUGUAUGAGCAGCUGACCGCCUGCCCAGCCCAAUAAUAUGACUU